rnacentral:rRNA from 1 species
GAAUUGACGGGGGCCCGCACAAGCAGUGGAGUAUGUGGUUUAAUUCGAAGCAACGCGAAAAACCUUACCAGGUCUUGACAUCCAACGACCGCCUAAGAGAUUAGGCUUUCCUUCGGGACGUUGAGACAGGUGGUGCAUGGUUGUCGUCAGCUCGUGUCGUGAGAUGUUGGGUUAAGUCCCGCAACGAGCGCAACCCUUAUUACUAGUUACUACGCAAGAGGACUCUAGUGAGACUGCCGUUGACAAAACGGAGGAAGGUGGGGAUGACGUCAAAUCAUCAUGCCCUUUAUGACCUGGGCUACACACGUACUACAAUGGCUAUUAACAGAGAGAAGCGAGACCGCAAGGUGGAGCAAACCUCAGAAAAAUAGUCUCAGUUCGGAUUGGGGGCUGCAACCCGCCCCCAUGAAGCCGGAAUUGCUAGUAAUCGCGGAUCAGCAUGCCGCGGUGAAUACGUUCCCGGGCCUUGUACACACCGCCCGUCACACCAUGAGAGCCGGGGGGACCCGAAGUCGGUAGUCUAACCGCAAGGAAGACGCCGCCGAAGGUAAAACUGGUGAUUGGGGUGAAGUCGUAACAAGGUAGCCGUAUCGGAAGGUGCGGCUGGAUCACCUCCUUUG